rnacentral:rRNA from 1 species
GAUGAACGCUGGCGGCGUGCCUAAUACAUGCAAGUCGAGCGAACAGAUAAGGAGCUUGCUCCUUUGACGUUAGCGGCGGACGGGUGAGUAACACGUGGGUAACCUACCUAUAAGACUGGAAUAACUCCGGGAAACCGGGUCUAAUGCCGGAUAACAUUUAGAACCGCAUGGUUCUAAAGUGCAAGAUGGUUUUGCUAUCACUUAUAGAUGGACCCGCGCCGUAUUAGCUAGUUGGUAAGGUAACGGCUUACCAAGGCAACGAUACGUAGCCGACCUGAGAGGGUGAUCAGCCACACUGGAACUGAGACACGGUCCAGACUCCUACGGGAGGCAGCAGUAGGGAAUCUUCCGCAAUGGGCGAAAGCCUGACGGAGCAACGCCGCGUGAGUGAUGAAGGUCUUCGGAUCGUAAAACUCUGUUAUUAGGGAAGAACAAAUGUGUAAGUAACUGUGCACGUCUUGACGGUACCUAAUCAGAAAGCCACGGCUAACUACGUG